rnacentral:snRNA from 1 species
ACGCUCAGGCCUCUCCUCAAAUCCUCGAACUAAUCUUUCGCCUUUUACUAAAGAUUACCGUGGGGAGGGGCAUUCCAAUGAGCCUAUAGGCCAAUUUUUGAAAGGUCCUGUCCGUUUGGGCGGGG